CCUUACCUACCCUUGACAUGCUAGGAAGUCCGCAGAGAUGUGGAUGUGCCGAAAGGGAACCUAGACACAGGUGCUGCAUGGCUGUCGUCAGCUCGUGUCGUGAGAUGUUGGGUUAAGUCCCGCAACGAGCGCAACCCUUGCCAUUAGUUGCGACAUUUAGUUGAGCACUCUAAUGGGACCGCCGGUGACAAACCGGAGGAAGGUGGGGAUGACGUCAAGUCCUCAUGGCCCUUAUGGGUAGGGCUUCACACGUAAUACAAUGGUCGGUACAGAGGGCUGCCAACCCGCGAGGGGGAGCUAAUCCCAGAAAGCCGAUCGUAGUCCGGAUUGUAGUCUGCAACUCGACUGCAUGAAGCCGGAAUCGCUAGUAAUCGCGGAUCAGCAUGUCGCGGUGAAUACGUUCCCGGGUCUUGUACACACCGCCCGUCACACCAUGGGAGUGGGUUCCACCAGAAGUAGGUAGCCUAACCGCAAGGAGGGCGCUUACCACGGUGAGAUUCAUGACUGGGGUGAAGUCGUAACAAGGUAACC
rnacentral:rRNA from 1 species